CAGAGGGGUCUGCUGUUCCCACAGGAAAUUGCAGUGACCCCACAGAGCUGAGAAAGCUCAGUGGGGAAGGAGCCCCUGAGCUCCCCGGUGCCCAGCCCUGGGGGUGCAGCACAGCUGGCGAUUGCAGCUGCGGACGUGAGGACUCCACUGCGAGCUGAGCGGGAACAGCCCCUGCCCCUGGCUGAGGCGCAGAGGCACGGAAUGCUCACACUGCCAAGGGCUGAGGGAGCCACGGGCGCUGCUGCUGGACGAGGCACAAACGCAGCAGGAGCAUUUCAGGCACGGCAAGGACAGCUCAUUUCCCUGCCUGCUCCCGCGGCUGCUUCCUUUGCUGCCCCGAGAGUGGUUUCCGGCAGCUCUGUUCUCUCGGCGCUGGGACGAGCUUUGUGACUCUGCCUCACUCAGCAAACACUCACCUUGGGCUCGGCAUGCACCUCGCCUAUCUCAUCCUCACCGUCUUCCUGGGACAGCUCCUGGGCACCACAGGGCAAAACACGAUCACCCAGGAAGACGGAGCAGUCACAGUGAAGCAGGGACACCCCUUCCACACCACCUGCAAAUACCAGACCAGUUAUUCUACUGCCGUGCUCUGGUACCAGCUGCACAAAGGCCAAGGCCCACAGCUGAUCUCCUAUCAAGCAGGGAGUGGCCCCAAGCACAGCGGCCGUUUCACCACGCACCUCAACACCACGGGGAAAUACAGUGUCCUGCAGGUGCAGCAAGUGGAGCUCUCUGACACUGCCUUGUACCUCUGUGCUGUGCAAGACACCCUGGUGCAGGGAGCUUCCUGGGCUGUGCAACAACCCAGGGGAGGGAGGGGAUGUGUCAGUGCGAGGCUGAGGUUGGGGAAGGGACUCUGGGCUCAGCCCAGUGCUCACCAGAAGUUCCAUGCCAUAUGGUUCACUGCUCUGAUUGUUUUGACUCCGUCCACCCUGACACUUCAUUUCGGAAACUGUUCUGGACAAUUUUGA